rnacentral:misc_RNA from 1 species
UCGAGUUAGGGUCUUGUAGGCCCGAUCUCCAACCCUAUGUAUAACUACCAUGUUGCUUUGGCGAGCCCGUCCUUAACCGGACCGCUGGAGGUUUUUAACCUCUGGCCCGUGCUCGCCAGUAGCCCACACAUAAAAAUUCUUUUCAACCAUGUUAAAUCUGAAACUAGUUAAAUAAACUA